GGCAAAGCUCAAAUUUGAAAUCUGGCGCCUUCGGUGUCCGAGUUGUAAUUUGAAGAUUGUAACCUUGGGGUUGGCUCUUGUCUAUGUUUCUUGGAACAGGACGUCACAGAGGGUGAGAAUCCCGUGCGAUGAGAUGCCCAAUUCUAUGUAAGGUGCUUUCGAAGAGUCGAGUUGUUUGGGAAUGCAGCUCUAAGUGGGUGGUAAAUUCCAUCUAAAGCUAAAUAUUGGCGAGAGACCGAUAGCGAACAAGUACAGUGAUGGAAAGAUGAAAAGAACUUUGAAAAGAGAGUGAAAAAGUACGUGAAAUUGUUGAAAGGGAAGGGUUUGAGAUCAGACUCGAUAUUUUGUGAGCCUUGCCUUCGUGGCGGGGUGACCCGCAGCUUAUCGGGCCAGCAUCGGUUUGGGCGGUAGGAUAAUGGCGUAGGAAUGUGACUUUACUUCGGUGAAGUGUUAUAGCCUGCGUUGAUGCUGCCUGCCUAGACCGAGGACUGCGAUUUUAUCAAGGAUGCUGGCAU
rnacentral:rRNA from 1 species